GAUGAACGCUAGCGACAGGCCUAACACAUGCAAGUCGAGGGGCAGCAUAAAUGUAGCAAUACAUUGGUGGCGACCGGCGCACGGGUGAGUAUCGCGUAUGCAACCUACCUACUACAGGGGAAUAGCCUUCCGAAAGGGAGAUUAAUACCGCAUAACACAGGGGCUCCGCAUGGAGAUAUUUGUUAAAGAUUUAUCGGUAGUAGAUGGGCAUGCGUUCCAUUAGCUAGUUGGCGGGGUAAGGGCUCACCAAGGCAACGAUGGAUAGGGGAACUGAGAGGUUUGUCCCCCACAAGGGUACUGAGACACGGACCAGACUCCUACGGGAGGCAGCAGUGAGGAAUAUUGGUCAAUGGGCGAGAGCCUGAACCAGCCAAGUCGCGUGAAGGAUGACGGUUCUAUGGAUUGCAAACUUCUUUUGUACGAGGGUAAAGUGAGCUACGAGUAGCUUAUUGCAAGUAUCGUACGAAUAAGCAUCGGCUAACUCCAUGCCAGCAGCCGCGGUAA
rnacentral:rRNA from 1 species